AUUCGUCACACUAUCAUUAACUGAAUCCAUAGGUUAAUGAGGCGAACCGGGGGAACUGAAACAUCUAAGUACCCCGAGGAAAAGAAAUCAACCGAGAUUCCCCCAGUAGCGGCGAGCGAACGGGGAGCAGCCCAGAGCCUGAAUCAGUGUGUGUGUUAGUGGAAGCGUCUGGAAAGGCGCGCGAUACAGGGUGACAGCCCCGUACACAAAAAUGCACAUGCUGUGAGCUCGAUGAGUAGGGCGGGACACGUGGUAUCCUGUCUGAAUAUGGGGGGACCAUCCUCCAAGGCUAAAUACUCCUGACUGA
rnacentral:rRNA from 1 species